rnacentral:hammerhead_ribozyme from 15 species
AACUGGUUGGGAGCUAAUGCUGCUCUCCUAACGAGGCCAUGGUAGGCCGAAACCAGUU